CUCCACUCAGAAUCGUUUUUUGUCAGCAAUGGUUAUCGUUGCUUAGAGAUAUAUAUUAAAUUCCCUUCUAUAUUCUACAUUCCCAACUUCCCACCUACAACAGUGGCUGCACCCACGUGCAAAGUAUAUCCGUCUUUUAUAUCUUUUAUACGUAGUAAUUUCUUCUUCGUUACUGGCAUUUAAUAAUUAAGAGUUUUUACCGGAAUCACGAUCUCCCUCUAUUUUUCUCAAUCCUGAACUAAUUCUCUCCAAUCUUGUUCUCCCAUCCUGUUAAAGUCCUCCUCCACAACAUCCAAU